rnacentral:rRNA from 1 species
GACGAACGCUGGCGGCGUGCUUAACACAUGCGAGUCGAACGGUAAGGCCCUUCGGGGUCCACGAGUGGCGAACGGGUGAGUAACACGUGGGUAAUCUGCCCUGCACAUCGGGAUAAGCCUGGGAAACUGGGUCUAAUACCGAAUAGGACCACAGGACACAUGUCCUGUGGUGGAAAGCUUUUGCGGUGUGGGAUGGGCCCGCGGCCUAUCAGCUUGUUGGUGGGGUGAUGGCCUACCAAGGCGACGACGGGUAGCCGGCCUGAGAGGGUGUCCGGCCACACUGGGACUGAGAUACGGCCCAGACUCCUACGGGAGGCAGCAGUGGGGAAUAUUGCACAAUGGGCGAAAGCCUGAUGCAGCGACGCCGCGUGGGGGAUGACGGCCUUCGGGUUGUAAACCUCUUUCACCAUCGACGAAGGUCCGGGUUUUCUCGGGCUGACGGUAGGUGGAGAAGAAGCACCGGCCAACUACGUG